AUCGGGAUUCCGCAGGGGAAUUCGGCCGCGAGGUUUGCAAAAUCGAUCUGCGUGUCCUCAACUGAGUACAUCGAAGCCCUAGCCCUCAAAGAAGCCUUCUCUCUCAUGGCGACACAAUUGUAUUGGAAGAGAUGAACUGAUUCGAGGGGGGAAGUAUAAAGCAUAGCUUAUCCAUUUUUUAUUUAAUUUCUUUUGGUCGAAAUAGCUUAUCCGUUUGCGAUCCUCUUUUUCACAUCGACGAUUCUUCUUCCUUCCCAACAUCAGACUUCUCAAAAUUCUUGGAUUGAGAUUGGAGCGAAGAUGGUUGGGUUGAGGUUGACGCUGGCGACGGCUCAGAUCUUGGGGUCUUCGUGGGCGCGCCAUCCCUCAUGCAGGUGAAACUUCGAAUUUGCUCAAUCAGAAUUCAAAAAGUGAAGAACCGUGAGAGCAUCGCAAUUGAAAACUUUGAAGAGCUCGUGUUUCGUCUACCUUGAACGUGGAUGACCCAGGAAUUGACCAAUGGGAUAUUGCUCAUAAUUCAGGAAUUGAAGGACUUGCUUCCUAGAAGCAGAUAAAUUGGUUUAUCUUUUGAGUCGACUUUGACAUUUUUACGUUUGUAUACUGAUUACACCAGAUCCUCCCCGAAGCAAAAUUUCAGAACCAAAAAAGCAAGAAGACGUGCAACAAUUGAAGAAAGAAAGAGAGAGGGCUUAGGUUGGACAUCCGUGUAGUUCAAUGAACUGACACUGAGCACUCACUGAAGGAGAAGGAACAGAGGGGGCUUGACCAUACUACUGUCAAGGAGCAAAAGCAGAUGAUUUUUGAAUUUAAUCCAUAAUUCUUCCCUCCAUCAACUUCUAUGUGGUCUCGAGCUGUUAACAGCAGACAUAUAGCGAAGGAGGAGAAAUUAGCAAAUAGCAAUAGGCCUGGUGAUCAUGAUUGGUUGCAAUAAAAAGUUGUUUUCUGAGGAACGACAAUGUUAAAUUCAUUCACUGCUGGUGUUUGCAAUGAAAAGUGAUGUUCUUACAAUGAAAAUUCAUUGAAGUUGUUAUGACAGAAUUUUCAUUUCUGC
rnacentral:lncRNA from 1 species